rnacentral:rRNA from 1 species
UACGGGGGGAGCAAGCGUUGUUCGGAUUUACUGGGCGUAAAGGGCGCGUAGGCGGCCACCGCAAGUCGACUGUGAAAUCUCCGGGCUUAACCCGGAAAGGUCAGCCGAUACUGCGGGGCUAGAGUGCAGAAGGGGCAACUGGAAUUCUCGGUGUAGCGGUGAAAUGCGUAGAUAUCGAGAGGAACACCUGCGGCGAAGGCGGGUCUCUGGGCCGAUACUGACGCUGAGGCGCGAAAGCUAGGGGAGCAAACGGG